GGCUCAAGUGAUCCUCUCGCCUUGGCCUCCCAAAGUGUCUGGAUCACAGGCAUGAGUUGCCACACCCGGUCUCCUCAUAUGACAGAGCAAGACAGAGGGAGACUCCAUCUUAAAAAAAAAAAUAAAAAAAGUGGAGAAGGAGAGAAGGGGUCAGGGAGGCAGCCAGGAGGGAAGAGUGAAGUAAGAAGCAGAUGAAGAGAAGCAGGGUGGGCACACACCCAGAGCCCCCCUGUGUCACCCGCCUGCUACCAGACCCAGGAGGGUCCCGUCGGGGUGGGGGUCCUGGGACUUAACUCCUCCUCCAGCCUCAGCCCUCCCGGUGCCAAGAUUCUUCAACGUCCUCGGGAUGCACCUCCGCACUGUGGGGCCAUCUGGGUCAGCCCGGACGCACCGGCCUCUGUCUGGGUCCCAGUCUUCUCACCGCCAGGCGGGCAGGUCAGCAGACCAGGCAGGACCGAGCCCGUCGCCCGGGGCUCUUGUUGUCUGUGCCAUUUCGGUGCCUUUUGUCCUUGCUUCCCGCCGCUCCUUGAGGAUGUUUACCGGCUGCUGGGGCCGUGCCUUCCAGGUGAGGCCUCGGUCAUUCCAGGUGCAGCCUCGGAUCAGGGAUGACGGCCCAGGCUGAAGUAUCAUGAUGAAGAGCUUGGACCGAGGGCAGUUAAGGUGUUCUUAUAUGAAGAGGAGAUCAGGACACACACACACACAGAGGCACGACCCUGUGAGGACCCAGGAGGAAGACAGCGUCUGCAAACCAAGGAGACAGGCCUCAGUAGGAACCAGCCCUGCCCACGCCUUGGUCUCGGACUUCAGCCUCCAGGACUGUGAGGGAUGAAUGCCCAUGGCCGGCGUCGCUUGGUGUGUGGCGUUUGUUCCGGCAACCCUGGGAGGCUGGGCAGGUGCACGGGGCUCAGAACCCCAGAUUGCAAAAAUGCAGCCCGGGAGGCUACCAGGAGGCUCCCGCCGCUCAGAGACGGAAGACGGCCCCCGUCACGGCUGCAGCAGGUGCUGCCAGGGACGCUGCUCGGAGCUCCAGGCUGCAGGGACAGGGCCACCCCGGGCCGCCCGCUCGCCCGGCCUGAUGUCUCCCACCCGGCACUUUGAUCCUCUGAAAGCCUGUAGACCGCGGGCUCUAUAACCUCAAGAUUUGUGUGCCGGGUGGGUCUGGAGGUCCCGCGUCUCAGCGGAUUUUAUUCCUCUCAUUAUUUUGCUUAACGGGCUGUUACUGCUGUGUCAGACAGCAUGGAGCGAAAAAUCACACUUUUUGGGAGAUGUUGUUCAAGAGAGAGACUGGAAAAGCAUGACUUAGUGGCGAAGGCUGCAGUGCUGAGCUACCACCUCCCGGAGCAGAGCCGAGGCCCUGAGGUGGGUGAGAGGGAGGUCCAGGCCCAGGGGCCAGGGGGAGCCCACAGCCACUCCUGGGGGGCUCCUCUGGAAGCCCUCCUGGGCAGGCAGGUCUCAGGGUCCCAGUCCAAGCCAGCGCUCAGCUUCAAGACUGGAAAAAACUGAACUUCUCCUUUCUCUUUUCUGUUUCUGCUUCUCCCAAGUCCCUCAGAUCCCCUCAUUCAUUCAUUCAUUCAUUCAUUCAUUCAUUCAUUCAUCCUUCCAUGAAUGAAAGGUCUCUUCAGUGUCAGAGGACACAGAAAUGAAUGAGAAAAAAAAUCUCUCUUUUCCUGGGGCCAAUAGAUGUGGACUUUGCCCUCGAGUACUGCUCUUUAAUUCCCUUUCUUUUAUCUUUAAAAUAAACUCCUUUAAAAACAGGCAGUUCAAGCCUGGGCAACGUGGCAAGACCCCAUCUGUAUAAAAUACAAAAAAAUUAGCCAGGUGUGGUGGUACGCUCCUGCAGUCCAAGGUACUUGGGAAGCUGAGGCAGGAGGAUCGCUUGAGCCCAGGAGAUCAAGGCAGCAGUGAGCCGAGAUCGUGCCACUGCACUUCUGCCUGGGUGACAGAGUGAGACCCUGUCUCAAAACAAAACAAAAAACCAGGCAACUCAGAUGGUUAAAUACAGACAUACCAUGUGACCCAGUCAUUCCACCCCUGGGAAUAUACCCGAGAGAAAUGGCUACAUAUAUCCACACAAGAACUUAUAUGUGAGUGAUCACAGCAGCUUUGUUCAUAAUAGCCAAAAAGUGGAAAUUGCGCCAACACCCCUCAGCUGAAGGCUGGGUGAACACAGGAGCUGGUGUAGCCACGAUGGAAUAUUAUCCGACAAUAGAAAGGAAUGAAGUUCCACACAGGCUGCAGCAUGGAUGAACACUGAAAAUAUUAGAGGCUUAGUUUAUUAUUUUAUUUUAUUUAUUUUUUUUUUUUUGAGAUGGAGUCUCGCUCUGUCACCCAGGCUGGAGUGCUGUGGCGUCAUCUCGGCUCACUGCAACCUCCACCUCCUGGGUUCAAAUGAUUCUCCUGUCUCAGCCUCCCGAGUAGCUGGGAUUACAGGUAUGUGCCACCACGCGCGGCUAGUUUUUGUAAUUUUAGUAGAGACGGGGUUUCCACCAUGUUGGCCAGGCUGGUCUCAAACUCCUGACCUCAAGUGAUCCGCCUGCCUCGGCCUCCCAAAGUGCUGGGAUUACAGGCGUGAGCCACUGUGCCUAGCCCAGAUGCUAAGUUUAAAAAGCCAGACACAAAAUACCACAUCUGUAGAAUUCCACUCAUGUGAAAUGCCCAGAAUAGGCAAUUCCAUGGAGACACAAAAUAGAGGCGUGGCUGUCAGGGGCUGAGAGGAAGGGUAGUGGGGAGUGAUGGCUUAAGGUGUGUGGGGUUUGUUUUUGGGGGUGAUGAAAACGGUCUAAAGUUGAUUGUGGUGAUGGUUGUACGACGCUGUGAAUACUCUAAGAAGCGUCGAAUUGUGUGCUUUACGUGGGUGAGUUGCAUGGCAUAUGAAUUAUAUCUUAGUAAAGCUGUUCGAAAAAUCACAGUGCCUAGGUAGAUUGUUAAAAGUAUCCGUUAUUUUCUGUAGAAUAUUUAAAAUAGUGCCUGAGACAUGCUGGAUGUUCAAUAAAUGUUAGCUAUUAAAAAUAAUACAUUCCUUUUAAGCACCUGCAGCCCUGCCUCCUCCAGGAAGCCACGGGGCCCUGACAGGAAAGGCCUCUGCGGGGGCUUCCUCAAGACCCCUGCCACCCCCGGUCGGCCACAGCCACUCUCUCCUGCCUUAUUUCUGUUUAACUCUGAGUUUCAGGCAGACAUCUCUGUCCAUGGCUUUGUUUUGUUUUGUUUUUCUGGGGAGAGGGUCUCACUCUGUUGCCCAGGCUGGAGCGUAGUGGUGGGAUCACAGCUCACUGCAGCCUUGAACUUCUGGGCUCAAGUGUCUUCCCGCCUCAGCCUCCAGAGUAGCUGGGACCACAGGUACCCACCACCCCCAUGCCCAGCCCUGAUUUUAAUAGUCACCCUGGAGGGUGACCCUUUCUCUUUUCUGUUUCUGCUUCUCCCAAGUUCCUCAGAUCCCCUAAUUCAUUAAUUCAUUCAUUCUUUCAUUUAUCCAUCCAUGAAAGCUCUCUUCAGUGUCAGAGGAUACAGAAAUGAAUCAGUGUCAGAGGAUGCAGCAGCGGCCUCCUCCUC
rnacentral:lncRNA from 1 species